rnacentral:rRNA from 1 species
AUUGAACGCUGGCGGUAUGCUUUACACAUGCAAGUCGGACGGCAGCACAGAGAAGCUUGCUUCUUGGGUUUCGAGUGGCGAACGGGUGUGUAACAUAUCGGAACUUACCGAGCAGUGGGGGAUAACUAAUCGAAAGAUUAGCUAAUACCGCAUAUCUUCUGAGGAAGAAAGCAGGGGACCAUUUGGCCUUCCGCUGUUUGAUCGGCCGAUAUCUGAUUCGCUAGUUGGUGGUGUAAAGGCCUACCAAGGCGACGAUCAGUAGCGGGUCUGAGAGGAUGAUCCGCCACACUGGGACUGAGACACGGCCCAGACUCCUACGGGAGGCAGCAGUGGGGAAUUUUGGACAAUGGGCGCAAGCCUGAUCCAGCCAUGCCGCGUGUGUGAAGAAGGCCUUCGGGUUGUAAAGGACUUUUGUCAGGGAAGAAAAGGGCGGGGUUAAUACCCCUGUCUGAUGACGGUACCUGAAGAAUAAGCACCGGCUAACUACGUG